CCUACGGGGGGCAGCAGUGGGGAAUAUUGGACAAUGGGGGCAACCCUGAUCCAGCCAUGCCGCGUGUGUGAAGAAGGCCCUCGGGUUGUAAAGCACUUUCAGUGAGGAAGAACGCCUGGUGGUUAAUACCCAUCAGGAAAGACAUCACUCACAGAAGAAGCACCGGCUAACUCCGUGCCAGCAGCCGCGGUAAUACGGAGGGUGCGAGCGUUAAUCGGAAUUACUGGGCGUAAAGCGCGCGUAGGUGGCUUGAUAAGCCGGUUGUGAAAGCCCCGGGCUCAACCUGGGAACGGCAUCCGGAACUGUCAAGCUAGAGUGCAGGAGAGGAAGGUAGAAUUCCCGGGGUAGCGGUGAAAUGCGUAGAGAUCGGGAGGAAUACCUGUGGCGAAGGCGGCCUCUGGACUGACACUGACACUGAGGUGCGAAAGCGUGGGUAGCAAACAGGAUUAGAUACCCCUGUAGUC
rnacentral:rRNA from 1 species